rnacentral:rRNA from 1 species
CAGCAGUGCCGCGGGAAUACGAAGGGGGCUAGCGUUGUUCGGAAUUACUGGGCGUAAAGCGCACGUAGGCGGACAUUUAAGUCAGGGGUGAAAUCCCGGGGCUCAACCCCGGAACUGCCUUUGAUACUGGGUGUCUAGAGUAUGGAAGAGGUGAGUGGAAUUCCGAGUGUAGAGGUGAAAUUCGUAGAUAUUCGGAGGAACACCAGUGGCGAAGGCGGCUCACUGGUCCAUUACUGACGCUGAGGUGCGAAAGCGUGGGGAGCAAACAGGAUUAGAUACCCGAGUAGUCCCUGUCUCUUAUACA